ensembl:lncRNA CDR2-DT CDR2 divergent transcript
AGGGCGUUCUGGGUUUCGGGCUGGGGAGCUGGCAGAGGCGCGUCUUACCCCUGUGGUGGGUGUCCCGAGGCCGGCGCGUCUGUGGACAGGCAACGCAGGCCGGAGGGCCUAGGACUCCGGCCUCUGAGAGGCGGGCGGUUGUCCAGGGGAGUCCUUCGUGCCGGCGGGAAGCGCAAGGGUGCCGGAAGCCUGAGGUCCGCCGCCCGGCCACCCCUUCUCGCAUCUUGACUCUGAGAUUUGCUCCGGGUCCGGCGGGGAGACUCGAGGUCGAUCGGGAGUUUGGGUUGAGAAAACGCCCACUGAGCGGUAGCUCUUGUCUCCUUGACAUCUGAGCCCUGGGAAUUAAACUCACGCUACAUAAAACGGUGGGCACCAGACCCCCUUGAGAAUCUGGGGCGGUGAGGGAUGCCCGAAGCUGUCCACUUGGAGGGCGAAAAUUGUAAGCAGUGUUGCAACGAUUUUUAAAAGGUACCCCUAGACCACAAGUUAAGCAUCUGGGGACGUGACAUUGCACCUGGAGGGGACAGGCUGCAGCUCCAGCACUUAGUAGCCAGCGAGGCAGAGCACGCUGUCCUCCACCGACAUAACCCAGCAAAUACUGCUCCUAGGUAAAGCUUUAAGCACCAUCUUGCAGACAAAGCACGGAAACUCUUAAGCAGGAUGACAGACCUGAAGGUCAAUGUUCUCAACCUUGACGUAAAGGUAAAGGUGCAGCUGAUGGAAGACAACAGGGCCAAUAUCUAACUAACUUUGAGCAACGAAACAAAAAAAAAUCGAGGUUUAAGUAUACAAUUGAAAGAUUAUCUCUAGAACAUGAGGUAAUAAACUGUUAGAAAUUCAGAGAGAGGGAAGAGGUGGAGAGGAGUGUUAAAUCCUGAUCUAUUUUAGAAGUGAGUCGACAGAUAAUACCUUACAUUGAUAAUCCAAUGAAUAGUUUCCACAAAUAUGGAGAGAGCUGCCAGAACUAAAAAUGGGAAGCAAUUAAGAGUUUUCCGAGGCUGGACACGGUGGCUCACGCCUGUAAUCCCAGCAUUUUGGGAGGCCGAGGCGGGCGGAUCACCUGAGGUCGAGAGUUCGAGGCCAGCCUGACCAACAUGGAGAAACCCCAUCUCUACUAAAAAUACAAAAUUAGCUGGGCGUGGUGGCGCAUGCCUGUAAUCCCAACUACUUGGAAGGCUGAGGCAGGAGAAUUGCUUGAAACCCGGGAGGUGGAAGUUGCAGUGAGCCGAGAUUGCGCCAUUGCACUCCAGCCUGGGCAAAAACUGCGUCUCAAAAACCAAACAAAAAAAAAAAGUUUUCCUAAGAGGAGGAGUGAUUUGAGGCUGGGGACUUUGGCUUUUUGUUAUAAACCCUUCUGUGAUCUUGCUUUUUUAGUUACUUGCACAUUAAAAAUAAGGGAAAUUGUAGGGAAGGAA